GAGUAUCUAUCUUUCACUAUAUCAGUUAUUUAUAAUUAUAUAUUUUCAAUACUUUUAUCAUUUGCUCAUAAUCAUAUAUUAUUGUUUGGCAUGAGAAACUAUGUGUAUGAGUUGUUUAAUAGAUUGUCGCUAAUAGCUUCGUCUUCUGAAACAGUUGCAGAUUUUGACCUCACUGCAACUCUUCAUCAUAAAAAAGAUUACCGCAAGCAUGAAGUCCAAUAUCUAAUCGUGCAACAACCAUUGAAGAAUCAGUUUCAUUUACUACAAGAAACAGUCCUUAGGUGACUCGAUCUCUUUCCUUUUCUCACUUCAUCGCUAUGCACAAAAAGAAUCUCACUUCUUACUGCAUAAAAACCCCCACCAAAAAAGGGGUUUUUGACAAUAAAAAUCUUAGGAAUACUCUUUUGCAGUGUUUGCAAGGAACGAGAAGCAUCUGUUGGGAAAGAAAAGGGGAAGCCUUUUGUGUAUUCAUAAGAUUUUUAUUGUUCAAAAACCCCUUUUUUGGUGGGGUCCGUUGUCGGCCACCAAAUGUUCUAUCUCUUGAC
rnacentral:lncRNA from 1 species